rnacentral:misc_RNA from 1 species
CUUCCUGAAGACGCUCGGCUACCGGCUGGAAGAUAUCCAGGGCAGGCAUCACGGCAUGUUCGUCGAGCCUCAGUAUCGCGACAGCGCCGCCUAUCGCGACUUCUGGGAUGCGCUGCGCCGGGGUGACUAUCAGGCCGCCGAAUACAAGCGCGUCGGCAAAGGCGGCAAGGCGAUCUGGAUUCAGGCGUCGUACAAUCCGAUCCGGGGCGCGGACGGCAAGUUCGUCAAGGUGGUGAAAUUCGCCACCGACACCACGGCGCAGGUUGAAGAUCGCAUCCGCCGCGGCGAGUUGCAGAAAUCCAUCGACAUCGACCUUGGGCAGAUCACCGAGGCUGUGACCUCGACGUCCGAACGGGUGACGUCGGCGGUGAGCGCGUCGACACAGACAUCCUCCAAUAUGCAGGCCGUUGCGUCAGGCGCAGAGGAACUCGCGGCGUCGGUCGCUGAAAUCAGCCGUCAGGCGUCGGACGCGCUCUCCAUCUCGCUUCAGGCGGUGCAGCAGGCCAACGAGACAAGCUCUAUCGUUUCGGGUCUCGCCAUCGCCGCCCAGAAGAUCGGCGACGUGGUCAAGCUCAUCAACAA